GACGAACGCUGGCGGCGUGCUUAACACAUGCAAGUCGAACGGAAAGGCCCUGCUUGUGUUGGGUGCUCGAGGGGCGAACGGGUGUGUAACACGUGAGUAACCUGCCCUUGACUUUGGGAUAACGUCAGGAAACUAGUGCUAAUACCUGAUAGGAGCUCCUGCUGCAUGGUGGGGGUUGGAAAGUUUCGGCGGUUGGGGAUGGACUCGGGGCUUAUCAGCUUGUUGGGGGGGUAGUGGCUUACCAAGGCUUGGAAGGGUAGCCGGCAUGAGCGGGUGACCGGGCACAUUGGGCCUGAGGUACGCCGCAGAGUGCAAUGGUGGGCAGCGGGGGCAACUAUUGCACAACGGGCGGAAGCGCGAUGAAGCGACGCCGGGUGUGGAAUCCGGGCUUUCGCGUUAAAAACUCCUUUCGCCUGUGACGAAGGGUGGGUGACGGUACCGGAAAAAGAAGCACCGGCUAACUACGUG
rnacentral:rRNA from 1 species